GCCAAGGAAAACAGCAUUUCAGGGCUGCACGUUCCGUACACAUUGCAGGCCGAGGGGCGACAAGGGUUCGUCGCCAGGCAAGUUCUUGCGCCAUGAAGCUCGCUCCUUCGCUCCUUCUGUGGUUAAUGUAUAAUCUGCCUGAAGUUGAUACGGUUGAGGGAUGCUGGGCGGAUAUUGCUGGCCUGAGUAUCACUGGCGGAGCCCUGUGAGGUUCACACUCGCACAUGUAGGAGCCCAAGUGCUGUGGCGCAAACCCCUGGCUUGGUGUUUAUUAUGGCCAAGGAAGGAGCAGCAUGUAGGCCCGACCUAGUGCUUAUGUGCUGAGCCAAGGCUGGAUGUGGACGUGUUGGGCGAUUGGCAGAAUCCUGGAGUAGUCGGAGUGUGCGUAAGAGGGGGAUGACGUGUUUAGUGGUGUUUUGAUUACCGUCGUGGCAGGGGGCAAUGAUAUCUAAUACAUUCCCUUUAUGAUGAAGCGUCGAAAUGGGAGCGUUUCGCGGUGCAUUGUCGUCCCGUGUAUGCAUCCCUAACAAGGGUUCAGGCGAGUUGAUGAAGCAGCCGUAGUGCUUCCUUUUAGGAGUUGCAGCGGUGGGGUGAGGAUCAGGGCUGCGUUUGCGCAUGGACUGCUGUAUGGCAUUUGCUGUUUCUCAUGCAUCAGUUUUUGCUUGUGAUGGAGGUAGUGCUAUGUACAUGAUGGUUUCACCACUCCUCGUACGUCUGUGAAGGUUUGAAGGUAUAAUGUGGUGGUAAGCUAAAUCGCCGAGUACGGCAUGCUGCGUUGAAUCACCUUAUUCUAUUUCAUCGUUGGGAUUUGCCCGGCCNNNNNNNNNNNNNNNNNNNNNNNNNNNNNNNNNNNNNNNNNNNNNNNNNNAUCUUCUCACUCCAACCCUGUUCAUGUGGGUUGGACACAAGCUGCACAAGGAGCUCUCCGUCCUUGGUCAGGCCGUUAUAUCCCACCUUGACCAGACCGUUGAUGAACAGCGGCCGGAUGGGUCUCCCCAUACAGUACUCAUCCUCGGCAAGGUCCAGCCACUUCUUCAGCUCAGCUAUCUGCCUGCCCUUGGGGUCCAGGAAGAACAUGCUGUUCACGCCAGCACUUGUGGCAGCUGCAGCACUGACAGUGUCCAUGGGCUCAAAGAAGAACAGGUCCUGGUUCUGCGAGUCUUGCCGGAGCUGCAGCUUGCAAGCUGGCAGGCCUGCAGAAGGAUAGCCCAUCAUGCCCACAAGGCGCAUACACAUUAAACAACCAGCCGCUGUCACCCAGUUGCAAUGCAUGCAGGAUCACAACGAAGGGGUGCAGAGCAGCAAAGUGACGAAGCAACUUCAAGCUGAAUCAAGCCAGAAGUCACACCCCUCAGUAGCAAGAGGGUGUAUGUCAUGCAGAACACUGAACCGCCCCUUUAUGGUAGAGAAAGAGUGUGCUGUCACACAGGGCUGCACAAUCGCAGGCCCAACAGGCUGGAACGUGUAACUGCCGAGAGUGCUUCCAGGCGUGGGGGCACGUCCAAAAUUGGUUGUAGCAGCUGUUGGAAAUAUGCCUCUGACAUGUCCUCCCCUGCAUGUAUUUGAGAUCAGAAUUAGCUCGGCAAAAUGCACACAUAGAUGGAAUACAGAGGAAACAUAUGCUUCUUCACAACAGCACAGAGAGUGGACGGCCAUGUCCGUGCCCCCCGUCGCUAGCACCCCGUGAUCCAGCCAACUUGGCAGCUGGACUUGCUAGUCAGUACGGCCAGUCGCCCAGUUGAAAUGCAUGCAGGAUCUUAUUAACGCAACCAACGCGGGAACGAACGGGUACAGAGCAGCAGCAGAAAGGGACGGACGGAACAACUUCCAGCUGACUUGCAGUACAGCAUAGGCGCCGGGGCCCAGGCCCGCGCUGCAGCCCAUGCACCCACCGUGCCAUGCCCGGGCGAGCGCCCCGCCCACCCACCCCAACCUGCCUACAGCUGGCGCGCUCUAUGCGAGCUCCCCUGGGGCGGGUGUUGGGCGGGUGCUGGGGCCAGGCCCGCCACCCGCCAGCCGCCCCUUGCCGCCUCUUACAGCUCCCAGCACGCACCCAACACGAGUGGGCGCAACCAGCUCACCCCACAGCCCCAAGCAACGACCCACCCGCCCCACCGCGCGACGGCCUCGCUGCUGCCCUUCCGAUAUAGAGGCCAGCACCCCCAGCAACGGCCUCUGCACCCCCGGCAAAGGCCCGCUUCUUUCCUUGCUUCCGUAGCGGGGGGCAGACGAGCCUCGAAUUGGCCUCACCCGUCUUAAUGCCAUAAGCGUUCAGCCAAACCCCAAUCGUUCCCCCUGAGGAUCGGUUCCCUUCCCACGAGCGCCAGGCCUAGUGGCCCUGCAAUGCAGAUGGGGUCUCACCGUCAGCUGCCGUGCUCCCGGGGCCCGGCCCUGCCGCCGCGCCUGCAUGACGAGAACGUCACAUGUAUGCAGGUCAGGAUUAUUGCACAUCAAGCUGUAUCCUGAAGAGACAGAGGCGGUGGUUGCGCAAUCGGGGAUUCAAUCGCAACAUGCCGGAAUGCUUCACAUGGGGCUGGUGCGCUCCGAACUCAGAACUACAAAUGUGCGGUUGCUCACCCUACAGCCUCUUGAAAUGAUCACCAGCAGCAGCGCUGUUCACGAUAGCUCAAACACUUCCGUACUACACCGCCGCGGGACCCCAGAGCCGGAGUCUUAGCUCAGGUCAAGCCUGGGCUAGCACAACCAACUCACCGGCUCCAGCCGCGCUCCCCGCACCGAGGCCAGCCGCCGAGGCUGCAGGACAUGGGAGCGGUCGGGGGACCCAUGUAGAUUACGAGUUGUUUCAAGCUUCAGGCACGAGAACCCUCCCACUCAGCCAGCGACGCAGAGCCUCCCGACACACCAAUCAAGCCUUCUCAGCUCCCAGUGCAUGACCUACUUUUACGGAUAAGCACAUCCACGAGCUUCAGCUGUUUGGCCGCUGUGCUACCGCGAAUUAGCACACGUUCCAGAUUCGUGGCCUUGCUCAAUGCUUCUGCAGCGGCCAGCUGCCACACCUCGUCCUUAUUAAAUGCUUCUGAAAGAUGGACAAUCAGCUGGGCCUCCUGGGCCUCCUGGUCCAUGGCUUGCGCUUGUGGCGCGCUAGCGACAGGGAACGAGCCGAAACGGAAACCUGCGUAAACGGAAACCUGCGUAAAUAGGUUUCGUCACGCUUUCCGCAGCGAAGCCCAGAUUGGCGGAAAUGCGGAAAGAGAAUCCGCAUUUCCGCAUUUGCUGUACGGCGGAAAUUCAAAAGCAGAUUCUAGGCAUGCGUUUGCCAUUUACAGACUGCGUUUUACACUAAGGAGUUGUUAGAUUAAGUCAAAUGUCAACAACCACUGGCUCCGACCUGGGGGGUGCCGAAGUCAUAGAGAUUGACUGUGUUUCUGCUCAGAAGAAGGGUGGAAGGCCCGUUGACGACGUUUGGAAACAUUUUGAUAGAGGUCCUUACGACAAGAGUAAGAAUUGUUAUGCCACCUGCAAGCGCUGCCGUCGCCACUGGAAACGGGCGCGCCUUCCUGAAAUCCGGUUACACCUUGCCAAGGAGUGCACUGCCAUUGCGCCUGAAUUUAUUUUGAAUUCAUAUUGUUUGGGCGGGUUUGGAUUCAUGUACAUUCAGCAUACACUUAAGACUUGCAGACAUGCCGGACGGGUAUGUGGAGUAGGCAUGCAGACAUGUCGCUGCUCCGCAACGGACAGGGAGACGAUUAUUAUUCAGUGUUUCAGGGCUCCCCGGGCUCUUACCCCAUGUAACAUACGAGUGGCAAUUUCUGAGCAUCCCAGAGCAAUCCGUCAGCCAACAACACUAUGGGGGUGAUAUACGAUAGGGCUGCUCAGGCCUGGGGUCUCAGGGUUCAAAGAGAGGCGGGCUGCUUGAAGGGGGCAGGGUGAACACCGUCAAGGGUGUGGGCACACAAUAGUUGAUCGCUGGGCCCCCGCCACCCCCAGUAAUACGUUUAGAUGGCUCUACCUUACCCCAUGUAACAUACGAGUGGCAAAAUCUGAGCAUCCCAGAGCAAUCCGUCAGCCAACAACACUAUGGGGGUGGUAUACGAUAGGGCUGCUCAGGCCUGGGGUCUCAGGGUUCAAAGAGAGGCGGGCUGCUUGAAGGGGGCAGAGUGAACACCGUCAAGGGUGUGGGCACACAAUAGUUGAUCGCUGGGCCCCCGCCACUCCAGUAAUACGUUUAGAUGGCUCUACCUUCGAGCACGAUUGGAAUCCACCAGAUUCUAGAUCCCACCGGACAGAACCGCACUGCCACAAGAUGGUUUCAGACUGUCCAAGUUAUCGCCACACUGAGAAGAGCCAGAAAACAUCGUUACAUAUUCAUUUUAUAGUUUUCGCAGGUUUCCGCAGUUUCCGCAGCCUUUCCGCAAAGCGCCUCCCGAUUACGAAAAGUUUACGCAGACCUGGUCAAGUUUCGGCUCGUUCCCUGGCUAGCGACACGGUAAAGUACCGUACUGAUACGAAAGGUUCGCUCCACACCUUUCGUUUUGGGCCACGAAGUGUGUCACAGUGGAAAAAGCUCUAUGGAGAAAAUUAUUUACUUGUCGCGAAAAUGUGUGGCACGAAUGUGUUGUACGCCGUGUACAUGGUGUAGAACAGCCAGAACUGAGUUCUUACACGCCAGAACUGAAUUUUUCAUAUAGUUAUAGCUUCCUUUUAUUGUAACUGUUGUUUGCUGGACAUCCUGGCACGCUACGUGACAAUGCGUUGACCAUGAAGCCCAGACGACCCAAGCAAACCAAGCAAACCAAGCUCACAGCCAUGAAGCUCGCUCCUUCGCUCCUUCUGUGGUUAAUGUAUAAUCUGCCUGAAGUUGAUACGGUUGAGGGAUGCUGGGCGGAUAUUGCUGGCCUGAGUAUCACUGGCGGAGCCCUGUGAGGUUCACACUCGCACAUGUAGGAGCCCAAGUGCUGUGGCGCAAACCCCUGGCUUGGUGUUUAUUAUGGCCAAGGAAGGAGCAGCAUGUAGGCCCGACCUAGU
rnacentral:lncRNA from 1 species